AUUGAACGAUGGCGGCAUGCCUUACACAUGCAAGUCGAACGGCAGCACGGGAGCAAUCCUGGUGGCGAGUGGCGAACGGGUGAGUAAAGUAUCGGAACGUGACUAGUCGUGGGGGAUAACGUAGCGAAAGAUACGCUAAUACCGCAUACGAUCUAUGGAUGAAAGCGGGGGAACGAAAGACCUCGCGCGAUUGGAGCGGCCGAUAUCAGAUUAGGUAUUUGGUGGGGUAAAGGCUCACCAAGCAGACGAUCUGUAGCUGGGCUUGGAGGACGACCAGCCACACUGGGACUGAGACACUGCCCAGACUCCUACGGGAGGCAGCAGUGGGGAAUUUUGGACAAUGGGCGAAAGCCUGAUCCAGCCAUGCCGCGUGCAGGAUGAAGGCCUUCGGGUUGUAAACUGCUUUUGUACGGAACGAAAAGGUUUGGGCUAAUAAGCUGAGCUCAUGACGGUACCGUAAGAAUAAGCACCGGCUAACUACGUGCCAGCCGCCGCGGUAA
rnacentral:rRNA from 1 species